AAAGGGGAGCAAUCCCUGAGUAGAGUGGCGAACGGGUGAGUAACACGUGAGAAACCUGCCUUCAGCAGGGGGAUAACACUCCCAACGGGGUGCUAAUACCGCAUGAGACCACGGGGUCGCAUGGCCCUGAGGUAAAGGUGGCCUCUACUUGUAAGCUACCGGCUGAAGAUGGUCUCGCGUCCCAUUAGCUAGUUGGUGGGGUAAUGGCCUACCAAGGCGACGAUGGGUAGCUGGUCUGAGAGGAUGGUCAGCCACACUGGGACUGAGAUACGGCCCAGACUCCUACGGGAGGCAGCAGUCGAGAGGCUUUGGCAAUGGGGGAAACCCUGACCAAGCGACGCCACGUGGAGGAUGAAGGCCCUUGGGUUGUAAACUCCUUUUGUUGGGGAAGAAAUGCGACCAGGUGAACAAUCUGGUCGUUUGACGGUACCCGACGAAUAAGCUCCGGCUAACUCCGUGCCAGCAGCCGCGGUAACACGGGGGGAGCAAGCGUUGUUCGGAAUCACUGGGCGUAAAGGGCGUGUAGGCGGUUGAGUAAGUGGAAUGUGAAAUGCCCCGGCUCACCCGGGGACCGGCAUUCCAUACUGCUCAGCUCGAGUAUGGGAGAGGAUGAGGGAAUUCCUGGUGUAGCGGUGAAAUGCGUAGAUAUCAGGAGGAACACCGGUGGCGAAAGCGCUCAUCUGGCCCAAUACUGACGCUGAGGCGCGAAAGCUAGGGGAGCAAACGGGAUUAGAUACCCCCGGUAGUCCUAGCCGUAAACGGUGAUCACUAGGUGUUGGAGGCAUCGACCCCUCCAGUGCCGCAGCUAACGCA
rnacentral:rRNA from 1 species